rnacentral:rRNA from 1 species
UUGAAUAUUAAUAGAUAUGUUCUUUAAAGUCAAAGAAUUUGGCGGUAUCUUAGUCUUGUUAGAGGAACCUGUUCUUUAAGCGAUAAAACACGUAGUAUCUUACUUAUUUUUGUUAAAUUUUAGUUUGUAUACCGUCAUUAUUAAAUAAUUUUGAGAGAGUUAAUUAUUGAGGUUAAUAGUUUGGAUUGCGUAUAUUAGAUCAAGGUGCAGCUUAUAGAUAAGUAGUAAUGGGUUACAAUAAUAUUUAUUUAGAACGGACUAUAGGUAGAAUUAUUUAUAGGUAAGGUGGAUGUAAUUGUAAAAAUAGUUUAAUAAGUUAUUUUGGUAUAGGCUCUAAAUUAUGUACAUAUCGCCCGUCACUUUCAUUUAAAAUGAAAUAAGUCGUAACACA